AUGACUAGGGAUAACCUUAGGAAGAGACACAUCAUCAAACCCCUUGAUUGUGUUUACUGCUUGGAACAAGAGUCUUGUUCUCACCUAUUUUUUGAUUGUAUAGUUGCUAAACAUCUCUGGGCCCACAUUGAGGAAUAUCUCUCUAGUCAGAUUGGCUCAUCCUUCGAAUCUGUCGCCAGAUUCUGGAUUGCUACCAAAAAGAGCUCAGUUUUAAACACUGUUAGCUCAGCUGUCCUUUGGUGCCUCUGGAAAUAUAUAAAUGCUAUGAUUUUCAGUAACACCUCCUGGAUUUCCAUUCCGCAAGUCUUGAGGUUGAUCAGGAACAUGGUGAGGAACUAG
rnacentral:rRNA from 1 species